AUCGCUUCUCGGCCUUAUGGCUAAGAUCAAAAUGUAGUAUCUGUUCUUAUCAGCUUAACAUCUGAUAGUUCCCCCAUAGGGGGACAACAAAUGUUAAACUGAUUUUUGUAAUCAGACGGAGUGGUAGGAGCUAGCUCCACCUCUGUCGCGGGUUGGCCCGGUAUUGCAGUACAGCCGGGUUUUUCAGCCCAACAAAA